CCCAGCACUAGACUGUUAAUCAGGGAGAGUACAAAGAUAAAUGCCAAUCUGCAUUAAUGUUUAUUACCUCACAUUUUUAACAAAUACUUCCGGGCACUGCUAAUGGCGGCAGUAUCUCUUUAGACUAAGUUUCAAAACUCCACUUAUGGCCAGGAAGCAACUGGUCGUGUGUAACCGUCUGUGUUAACAAUGGCUUUAUGGCCACCACAGGCGUCCUGAGAGUGACUUUAUAGGACACAUGCACAGUAUCCUACUCCUCUGGGCAUUUGAAAUCCACUUUCCCCAUUGAACACAAGACGCCCCCAGAUGGAUCCCGUAUCCCAUAGCAGCGUGUGUAGUGGUUGUCUCAAUAGAAGAUAAGGAUAUGGACACAGUUGUAUUUUGUGACUGUUGUGUCACACUACCCUAGGCUUUGAUGUGCAAAUAGUGCUUUUCUCUCUGUUACCCAGUAGUGUAUAGUUCUGACUUUUUGUGUGUCAUUGAACAUAGAAGAUUCCAGUGUGCAGUUUACCCACAUCCUUCCCAGGGAGUUAUGGGGUGUUAGGUACUUUUCUGUAUCCUGAAACCUUUUUCUGACAUGCAGGACCUGCGAGGAGCAGCACUGCUGUUGGGCAAGGGUCUCCGAACGGUCAUGCUGGAACAUUGCUUUCAGUCAUUUUCAUGACAGACAUUAUCUGUGUGACUUUCCCUCUUCACUUCUCCAAGGCUCUGAAAACUCAGAUGGGGCAAUAAAGGCUCAGGGGAGGUUACACUUGCCCAAGUGUUUUGCAUUUGAAGAUGGGCAGAUCUGGUUUCCAUUGUCUGGAUCCUACGUGUGUUCCAACCCAUCCCAUUUAGUCCACUGGGAUUUGACCUGGUGUAUUGGCCCUGGAAUUCCAGCUUUCAACCCUAUCCUGCUGUCAUUGUGGUCACCAGCAUGUACACAUGCCAUGCUGAGGUAAGGGGUGUGUAGGGCAUUUCCAUAGUUCCAUGAUGGAUUCCCUGGGUCAUUUAUUACCCCCUUUGCUUGUGGAGACACAUGGAACGGUUGGGGUUUGUUUUAUUAAACGUGGGCCCAAUGAGCUCUUGAAACACCAGCCCUUGGAACAGCAGGGUCCACUAGACUCCCUAGACUACAUGCCUAACUCCUGCUCUGUGUCUGCCAAAAAUUCUCUUCUGAAUGCGUCUUGGAAAGAAAAUAGUGACUGUGCUGUUCACCUUGGGGUUUCCUUAGUGUAUAAGGUUGAGAAUAGCUUCCCAGGUCAUCUCGAUUCUCAUGGCCUUCAUUAAUGUGGCACAAACAGGGCUUUUCCCACAGGCAAAGGCCACAUUUUAAUCAUUUUGAUGAAGGCUGAGUUUAUGUACUAUGGUUCUCGAGGCUCUUUCACCAAGAUGGCUCUUUUCAUCAGUAUGUUGUUUUAAGCAUCUUACUCUUUGGUAGAGGCUGGUGGGACGUAUAAGGACAGAGGCAUUGUCACCCGCUUUAUA